rnacentral:rRNA from 1 species
UACGUAGGUGGCAAGCGUUGUCCGGAAUUACUGGGGACGGUAAAGAGCGCGCAGGCGGCUGGUCAAGUCCGAAUGUGAAACGCUCCCGGCGUUAACUGGGAAAUUGCAUCGGAAACUGAUCGGACUGGAAGGUGGGGAGAGGGUGAGCGGAAUUCCCGGUGUAGUGGUGAAAUAGCGUAGAUAUCGGAGGAAUACCAGUGGCGAAAGCGGCACCCUGGCAUUAGCCUGACGCUCAUGUGCGAAGGCGUGGGGAGCGAACGGG